AAUGAACGCUGGCGGCGUGCCUAACACAUGCAAGUCGAACGAGAAAGCGGGCUUCGGCCUGUGAGUAAAGUGGCAGACGGGUGAGUAACACGUGGGUAACCUGCCCUGAGGUGGGGGAUAACCCUCCGAAAGGAGGGCUAAUACCGCAUGAUAUCUCGAGUUCUUCGGGACACGAGAUCAAAGCUAGCCUCUACAUGUAUGCUGGCGCCAUUGGAGGGGCCCGCGUCCCAUUAGCUUGUUGGUGAGGUAACGGCUCACCAAGGCUGCGAUGGGUAGCCGGCCUGAGAGGGUGAUCGGCCACACUGGAACUGAGACACGGUCCAGACUCCUACGGGAGGCAGCAGUGAGGAAUUUUGCGCAAUGGGCGAAAGCCUGACGCAGCGACGCCGCGUGGAGGACGAAGGCCUUCGGGUCGUAAACUCCUGUCAAGCGGGACGAAUCCUGAGAGGAUGAAUAAGCCUCUCAGUUGACGGUACCGCUGGAGGAAGCCCCGGCUAACUCCGUGCCAGCAGCCGCGGUAAUACGGAGGGGGCCAGCGUUGUUCGGAAUUAUUGGGCGUAAAGGGCGCGUAGGCGGCUGUGCAAGUCGGUGGUGAAAGCCCUCGGCUCAACCGAGGAAUUGCCCCCGAAACUGCACGGCUGGAGUCCC
rnacentral:rRNA from 1 species